rnacentral:rRNA from 1 species
GUAGGUGGCAAGCGUUGUCCGGAAUUAUUGGGCGUAAAGCGCGCGCAGGCGGUUCUUUAAGUCUGAUGUGAAAGCCCACGGCUCAACCGUGGAGGGUCAUUGGAAACUGGAGAACUUGAGUACAGAAGAGGAAAGCGGAAUUCCACGUGUAGCGGUGAAAUGCGUAGAGAUGUGGAGGAACACCAAUGGCGAAGGCGGCUUUCUGGUCUGUAACUGACGCUGAGGCGCGAAAGCGUGGGGAGCAAACAGGGAUUAGAUACCCUGGUAGUCCACGCCGUAAACGAUGAGUGCUAAGUGUUAGGGGGUUUCCGCCCCCUUAGUGCUGCAGCUAACGCAUUAAGCACUCCGCCUGGGGAGUACGGCCGCAAGGCUG